rnacentral:rRNA from 1 species
CUAUACAUGCAGUCGAGCGAUGGAUUAAGAGCUUGCUCUUAUGAAGUUGGGGGCGGACCCCUGAGUAACACGUGGGUAACCUGCCCAUAAGACUGGGAUAACUCCGGGAAACCGGGGCUAAUACCGGAUUUGAUUUGGAACYYGCAUGGUUCGUUUUUGAAAGGCGGCUUCGGCUGUCACUUAUGGAUGGACCCGCGUCGCAUUAGCUUUUUGGUGAGGUAACGGCCUCACCAAGGCAACGAUGCGUAGCCGACCUGAGAGGGUGAUCGGCCACACUGGGACUGAGACACGGCCCAGAGUCCUAACGGGAGGCAGCCGUAGGGAAUCUUCCGCAAUGGACGAAAGUCUGACGGAGCAACGCCGCGUGAGUGAUGAAGGUUUAUCGGGUCGUAAAACUCUGUUGUUAGGGAAGAACAAGUGCUAGUUGGGUAAGCUGGCACCUUGACGGUACCUAACCAAAGAGGCCACGGCUAACUACGGGCCAGCAGCCGCCCUAAUACGUAGGUGGCAAGCGUUAUCCGGAAUUAUUGGGCGUAAAGCGCCGCGCAGGUGGUUUCUGGGGUCUGAUGUGAAAGCCCACGGCUCACCCGUGGAGGGUCAUUGGAAACUGGGAGACUUUUGUUGCAGAAGAGGAAAGUGGAAUUCCAUGGUGUAGCGGUGAAAUGCGUAGAGAUAUGGAGGAACACAGUGGCGAAAGCCACUUCACUGGUCUGUAACUGACCCUGAGCGCGAAAGCGUGGGGAGCAAACAGGAUUAGAUACCCUGGUAGUCCACGGGGUUUUACGAUGAGUGCUAGGGGAAAAGGGGGGUUUCCGCCCUUAARUGCUGAAGUUAACGCAUUAAGCACUCCGCCUUUUAAGUACCGGGGCAUGCUGAACUCAAGAAAUGGACGGGCCGCACAGCGGUGGGAGCAUGUGAUUAAACGAGCCCCGCGAGAUGGAUCGACCCUUGAMAUUCUYUGAAGGCC